rnacentral:rRNA from 1 species
UACGUAGGAGACGAGCGUUGUCCGGAAUCACUGGGCGUAAAGCGCGUGUAGGCGGAUGAGCAAGUCUGCUGUGAAAGCUCCUGGCUUAACCGGGAGUGGUCGGUGGAAACUGCUCGUCUGGAGGACGGUAGAGGUAGGUAGAAUUCCCGGUGUAGUGGUGAAAUGCGUAGAGAUCGGGAGGAAUACCUGUGGCGAAGGCGGCCUACUGGGCCGGACCUGACGCUGAGACGCGAAGGCGUGGGGAGCGAACAGG